rnacentral:sRNA from 1 species
UUGACAGCCCUGGAGACUGAAGUCUUCUGUUUAACCACAACCCCGGGUGAAACACAGACAGACGCAAUGAAAAUCUUCCCUGCUUCCCCACCUCUGCUCCUCAAACUUCCAGAGAAGACACUUCGAGGGAAGAAGGGGGUGCUGGUGGCUUGUGCCAUGUUUAAUCAUGGCCAUUU